GUGAAUAGUACUUGGACGAUUGCCGUUUACUCAUACCCCUGGCAAGGCGUGGAAGUUUUGACAAAGAGUUUGCUCUCGAAUACCCUCCAAGAGCUUUCCAUUCUUCAUCUAUUUCCAACCCAACCUUGCCAUCCACUGUUGUUCAUUCAGAAACAAACAUAUGGCAGCACAAUCAUCAACCUUGGAACCAGGAUAUUUGUAUCUCCAAGCUUUUACAGCACGCUUCACUAACAACUUGGCUGCGAUGGACCUCCUUGGUGCUGAAGCAACUAUGCUUAUUACUUCAUGGUUAGUGAGCACAUCCCAUAUCUGUGCAGAAAAUAGAAAAUAAAAAAUUUUGAUCAUUCCAAUUGAUGUUUGUAAAAGUAAUUCAUUGCUUCCAUGAUUUGACUAAAUACUAGCAUAGGUUAAACUGUUACUUAGGCCCUACAGUUGUCCACAUUUCAAGGUUUAGUCUCUUUAUGAGGAAACCAAAAGUUGUAGUUCCUUAA